rnacentral:tRNA from 1 species
GUCCCCAUCGUCUAGAGGUCUAGGACAUCGCCCUUUCACGGCGGUAACAGGGGUUCGAAUCCCCUUGGGGACGCCA